GUUUCUUCCAAUCCCAACAACCUCUUCAUCAUUUGAAAGAUCAGCUUCAGGCCCAUUUGGUGUUAAUUAGAGCAACUCAGGCUUCUCCUUGUGAAGGAAACAGGCCCUCAUUUCUCUCAUUAAAGUAAAAUAUGACCCAUUUUUAUGCCUGCAUAUUUUGUUGCCGAGAUUACGAGAAUCAUCCUCUCUGUUUAUACGGAACGAAGAAACGUUACACCAGGAGAGCGGCCUGGGUCCCAGAGUCUGGGGAAUAGAAAGCAGAUGUUGUCCACGCUGUUAUUUUCCCAUCCACCCCCAGCUUCCACUCUCUUCCUCUCUGCUCCUCCCUCUCAGCAGCAUAGUCCUCAUUUAAGAUCAUCACAAGCUCCAUUUCCCUUAAACCAAGAAUGCUCAAAGUCUUCCUAUUGCCUGGAGAUGUGGAAAAAACAAAGCCUGCUGAUCACAGAGGCAAUCACAGACUCUUGUGCACUGCCUGGGAGGGUCCACGUAGCUUUUGCACACCUCAUCCUAGUAGAGCCUCAGCAUAGGUCAAAAGGCGGGGAAUACUGUCACAGUAUGUUCUCUCCACCUUGGAAAGUUGUGUGGCUGAGCACGGUCCUGGAAGGGAACAGCUAAAUAAAUGGUGAAGAGCCAGGCCAACUUCUAAGACCCUCGCAUCCUCACUGGCUUGUUGGAAACUUAAUUUCUUCCAUCUUUAUAGGUUAGGAUUUGGCAAGCUGAGAUGAGUGUUCAAAUAAAUGAUUUCCUGGAGUUUUGAGGUGCCUUUGGGUAAUGCAGGAUUUGUUUUUAAGGGAAUGCAGUAGGUAUGCUGAAUAUCACUUAUGGGAAGAGGGGUUAAAAAGAGGAAAGCACUGGUUAUGGGUGUCCUUUCCAAGUGGGGCUGUGGGUUGGAGGGUGCGGACCCCUGUGCCCUGUGUUUGGUGAAGACAGAUGUCCUCAUUCUCAGGGGGCUUAUGUUUGAACUGGGGGAGACAUUACACUGUAUCAUAACUGCCUUUUUUCUCACUUCUGGGAAUUUAUUUUAUAGGUGUACCUGCAUACCUACAACAGAGCAGAUACACAAUCUGCACUUUCACCAAUGGGAACUGGUUACAUAAAUUCCAUACAAUAAAAUGCCAGAUAAGGAAGUGACACUCUUCAAGGUAGGGUGUGAAGAGGCCAAAUCAAGGUGAAAAUGAGUGUGUAGGGUGCUACUUUUAAUGUUAGAAAGGGGGAAAGUAAGAAUACAUAUUUUUUAUUUGCCCAAGGUAACUCUGGGAGGAUACACAAGAAAGAAAUAAAAGGGGUGACUUCUUGGGGUGAGGAAGGUGAGUUAGAAGCCAGCAUUCUCCAGUAUACCAUUUUCUGUCAUUUCAAUUUUUGAACCAGGUAAAAAAAUUAUCUGUAAAGUGAAAAGAUAGGGAAAGUGUAAGUUACCCUAUGAGGAACA